AACGAACGCUGGCGGCAGGCUUAACACAUGCAAGUCGAGCGCCCCGCAAGGGGAGCGGCAGACGGGUGAGUAACGCGUGGGAACCUUCCUCGUUGUACGGAACAACUCAGGGAAACUUGAGCUAAUACCGUAUACGUCCGAGAGGAGAAAGAUUUAUCGCAAUGAGACGGGCCCGCGUCGGAUUAGGUAGUUGGUGGGGUAACGGCCUACCAAGCCGACGAUCCGUAGCUGAUCUGAGAGGAUGAUCAGCCACACUGGGACUGAGACACGGCCCAGACUCCUACGGGAGGCAGCAGUGGGGAAUCUUGGACAAUGGGCGCAAGCCUGAUCCAGCCAUGCCGCGUGAGUGAAGAAGGCCUUAGGGUUGUAAAGCUCUUUUACCAGGGACGAUAAUGACGGUACCUGGAGAAUAAGCCCCGGCAAACUUCGUGCCAGCCGCCGCAGUAAUAC
rnacentral:rRNA from 1 species